GACGAACGCUGGCGGCGCGCUUAACACAUGCAAGUCGUGCGGUGUCGAAGGCAAGUCUUACGACAAGCCUUCGACACAGCGGCGAACGGGUGAGUAACACGUGAGUAGCUGUCCUAAGGAGGGGGAUAACGCCUGGAAACGGGUGCUAACACCCCAUAUGCCUCGCAAGAGGUGAAAGUGUACUUGCUACAGCCUUAGGGUGUGCUCGCGGCCUAUCAGCUAGUUGGUGAGGUAACGGCUCACCAAGGCCAAGACGGGUAGCCGGCCUGAGAGGGUGUACGGCCACACUGGAAUUGAGGAUACGGUCCAGACUCCUACGGGAGGCAGCAGUGGGGAAUCUUGGGCAAUGGGCGAAAGCCUGACCCAGCGACGCCGCGUUGGGGAUGAAGCCCUUCGGGGCGUAAACCCAUGUUGUAGGGGACGAAGAAAGUGACGGUACCCUACGAGAAAGCCCCGGCCAACUACGUG
rnacentral:rRNA from 1 species